UACGUAGGGUGCGAGCGUUGCCCGGAUUUAUUGGGCGUAAAGGGCGCGUAGGCGGUGAGAUGCGUCCGUUGUGAAAUCGCCCGGCUCAACUGGGCGGGGUCAGCGGAUACGGUCUCACUUGAGCAAGCUAGGGGGCAAUGGAAUUCCCGGUGUAGUGGUGGAAUGCGUAGAUAUCGGGAGGAACACCGGUGGCGAAGGCGGUUCUCUGGGCAUUACCUGACGCUGAGGAGCGAAAGUGUGGGGAGCGAACAGG
rnacentral:rRNA from 1 species